AUUGAACGCUGGCGGCAGGCCUAACACAUGCAAGUCGAGCGGAUGCAGGGAGCUUGCUCCUGGAUUCAGCGGCGGACGGGUGAGUAAUGCCUAGGAAUCUGCCUGGUAGUGGGGGAUAACGUCCGGAAACGGGCGCUAAUACCGCAUACGUCCUGAGGGAGAAAGUGGGGGAUCUUCGGACCUCACGCUAUCAGAUGAGCCUAGGUCGGAUUAGCUAGUUGGUGGGGUAAAGGCCUACCAAGGCGACGAUCCGUAACUGGUCUGAGAGGAUGAUCAGUCACACUGGAACUGAGACACGGUCCAGACUCCUACGGGAGGCAGCAGUGGGGAAUAUUGGACAAUGGGCGAAAGCCUGAUCCAGCCAUGCCGCGUGUGUGAAGAAGGUCUUCGGAUUGUAAAGCACUUUAAGUGGGGAGGAAGGGCAGUAAGUUAAUACCUUGCUGUUUUGACGUUACCAACAGAAUAAGCACCGGCUAACUUCGUG
rnacentral:rRNA from 1 species